CACGUUAGAUUUCACUUCGAUUUAAAAUUUAUAUACCGCCAUCUUAAGAAUCAAUUUCAAAACAUUACUCUAAAUAAAUAAUAAAAAGUUAGGUCAAGGUAUAGUCUACAUUGAAGAAUGAGAUGAAUUACAUUAAAAAUCACUUAAAGAUUAUUAAUAAACAUAUUAAUUUAAAUAAGAAUUUAAAAGUACUACCUAAACAAUAAUUUUAUAUGAUAAAGAUAAUAAAUGUGCACACAUCGCCC
rnacentral:rRNA from 1 species